UACGUAGGGUCCAAGCGUUAUCCGGAAUCACUGGGCGUAAAGCGUUUGUAGGCGGACAUUUAAGUGAGAUGCGAAAUCUUGUGGCUCAACCAUAUAGACGGUAUCUCAUACUGGGUUUCUAGAAGAUAGCAGAGGUAAGUGGAAUUAGUAGUGUAGCGGUAAAAUGCGUAGAUAUUACUAGGAACACCAAUGGCGAAGGCAGCUUACUGGGCUAUAUUUGACGCUGAGAAACGAAAGCGUGGGGAGCGAACAGG
rnacentral:rRNA from 1 species